GGUGCUGCAUGGCUGUCGUCAGCUCGUGUCGUGAGAUGUUCCGGUUAAGUCCGCUAACGAGCGCAACCCCUCGCUGUGUGUUACAAAGGUGUCACACGGGAACUGCCGGUCAUAAACCGGAGGAAGGUGGGGAUGACGUCAAGUCAGCAUGGCCUUUAUAUCCUGGGCUACACACACGCUACAAUGGGAAGGGACAAUAGGUUGCGAAGCCGCGAGGCGGAGCCAAUCCAGCAAAACUUCCCUCAGUUCAGAUUGCAGGCUGCAACCCGCCUGCAUGAAGUUGGAGUUGCUAGUAAACGCAGGUCAGCCAUACUGCGUUGAAUACGUUCCCGGGGCUU
rnacentral:rRNA from 1 species